rnacentral:tRNA from 1 species
GGAAAUGUAGCUCAGUAGCUAAGCACUGGCCUGGUAUGUGCAAAGCCCUGGGUUCUAGUCCCAGCACUGCCA